AACAAUUUGUGGGAGUUAGUGGCGUUUCUCCUCCUCUUCCCCCAGUCCUGUUGACUAUUAUCAUCCAUACUCUUUAGCCUGGCUAUGAGAAGAGAGAAAUCUAAAAGUUGGACCCCUUCCAGCAUACAGUUCCUUCCACUGGAUCUGUUAAUGGCUUUCAUUCACCAUUCUGUGCUGGCUUUAUCACCAUAGCAGGAGGAGACCUGACCCUGAGGCAGAAGGUUUUAUCGAGAAGGGUGGACACUUCAGAAAAUGCCUUUGAUUUUCCAUCUCUGUUGCUAAAGUCAUGAAGAUACCAGAUUAUGGCGUAGUCCUGGAAAUUUCUAAUGUGGAAGAUUCUCACUUGGAAAAUUCUAGAAAAAGAAGAUAAGAUGUCAGGCAGGAAGAGGGAGCUUUUGUAGAGUCCAGGCAGCAAGAUUGCCACAAGAAGUCUUAUGAUUCUCAGAGGCCACCUCUAAAUCAUAGUUGU
rnacentral:lncRNA from 1 species